rnacentral:rRNA from 1 species
AGUGGCGAACGGGUGAGUAAUAUAUCGGAACGUGCCCUAGAGUGGGGGAUAACUAGUCGAAAGAUUAGCUAAUACCGCAUACGAUCUACAGAUGAAAGUGGGGGAUCGCAAGACCUCAUGCUCCUGGAGCGGCCGAUAUCUGAUUAGCUAGUUGGUGGGGUAAAAGCCUACCAAGGCAACGAUCAGUAGCUGGUCUGAGAGGACGACCAGCCACACUGGGACUGAGACACGGCCCAGACCCCUACGGGAGGCAGCAGUGGGGAAUUUUGGACAAUGGGGGCAACCCUGAUCCAGCAAUGCCGCGUGAGAGAAGAAGGCCUUCGGGUUGUAAAGCUCUUUUGUCAGGGAAGAAACGGUGGUAGCUAAUAUCUACUACUAAUGACGGUACCUGAAGAAUAAGCACCGGCUAACUACGUGCCAGCAGCCGCGGUAAUACGUAGGGUGCAAGCGUUAAUCGGAAUUACUGGGCGUAAAGCGUGCGCAGGCGGUUGUGUAAGACAGAUGUGAAAUCCCCGGGCUCAACCUGGGAAUUGCAUUUGUGACUGCACGGCUAGAGUGUGUCAGAGGGGGGUAGAAUUCCACGUGUAGCAGUGAAAUGCGUAGAUAUGUGGAGGAAUACCGAUGGCGAAGGCAGCCCCCUGGGAUAACACUGACGCUCAUGCACGAAAGCGUGGGGAGCAAACAGGAUUAGAUACCCUGGUAGUCCACGCCCUAAACGAUGUCUACUAGUUGUCGGGUCUUAAUUGACUUGGUAACGCAGCUAACGCGUGAAGUAGACCGCCUGGGGAGUACGGUCGCAAGAUUAAAACUCAAAGGAAUUGACGGGGACCCGCACAAGCGGUGGAUGAUGUGGAUUAAUUCUAUGCGACGCGAAAAACCUUACCUACCCUUGACAUGGAUGGAAUCCCGAAGAGAUUUGGGAGUGCUCGAAAGAGAACCAUCACACAGGUGCUGCAUGGCUGUCGUCAGCUCGUGUCGUGAGAUGUUGGGUUAAGUCCCGCAACAAGCGCAACCCUUGUCAUUAGUUGCUACGAAAGGGCACUCUAAUGAGACUGCCGGUGACAAACCGGAGGAAGGUGGGGAUGACGUCAAGUCCUCAUGGCCCUUAUGGGUAGGGCUUCACACGUCAUACAAUGGUACAUACAGAGGGCCGCCAACCCGCGAGGGGGAGCUAAUCCCAGAAAGUGUAUCGUAGUCCGGAUUGGAGUCUGCAACUCGACUCCAUGAAGUUGGAAUCGCUAGUAAUCGCGGAUCAGCAUGUCGCGGUGAAUACGUUCCCGGGUCUUGUACACACCGCCCGUCA